UGCGUAGGCGGAAAAUUAAGUCAGUGAUGAAAUCCUGCAGCUUAACUGUAGAACUGUUAUUGAUACUGAUUUUCUUGAAUAUAGUUGAGGUAGGCGGAAUGUGUAAUGUAGCGGUGAAAUGCUUAGAUAUUACACAGAACACCGAUUGCGAAGGCAGCUUACUAAGCUAUUAUUGACGCUGAGGCACGAAAGAGUGGGGAGCGAACAGGAUUAGAUACCCUGGUAGUCC
rnacentral:rRNA from 1 species